ensembl:lincRNA
AACUCCGUACCGGAGCAUGGAGGCUGAGGCAGCCCGCGGAGUCACAGGUCAGACUUGAGACUUCAUCUCUUUGUNNNNNNNNNNNNNNNUUGUGGCUGUUUACUUAAAGGAAUCCUGGUGGUCCAUCGAAGACAUCCUAAGAACUUCUGAUCCCACGCGGGAAGGGCUCAUGAAGGCAGCCUCUGUGGUGAUGGUACCGGCACAUGCUACCUGUUGCCUGUCUUCGACACCGUGUUUGUGAGGAGGAAGAACCGUUGCCAAGGCCUGGGGACAGCCAUGCUGAGGGACUUCUGUGACACCUUUCAAGGAGACGAAGCUCUGGGUAUCAGUUGUCCGAUAUCUCCUGCAAUGUACAGAGUCCUCAGGCAGUUCCUGUUGACCUGUCCAGGCGAGAGA